UACAGGGGGGGCAAGCGUUGUUCGGAAUUACUGGGCGUAAAGGGUCUGUAGGUGGCCAACUAAGUCAGACGUGAAAUCCCUCAGCUUAACUGGGGAACUGCGUCUGAUACUGGAUGGCUUGAGUGUGGGAGAGGAAUGCGGAAUUCCAGGUGUAGCGGUGAAAUGCGUAGAGAUGUGGAGGAACACCAGUGGCGAAGGCGGCUUUCUGGUCUGUAACUGACGCUGAGGCGCGAAAGCGUGGGGAGCAAACAGG
rnacentral:rRNA from 1 species